GAUGAACGCUAGCGGGAGGCUUAACACAUGCAAGUCGAGGAGCAGCAUAGGGUAGCAAUACUCUGAUGGCGACCGGCAAACGGGUGAGUAACGCGUAUGCAACCUACCCUGUACAGGGGGAUAACCCGGAGAAAUUCGGACUAAUAUCCCGUAAUAAUAUCCGGAGGCAUCUUUGGAUAUUUAAAGUUCCGACGGUACGGGAUGGGCAUGCGUAACAUUAACUGGUUGGUAAGGUAACGGCUUACCAAGGCUAUGAUGUUUAGGGGUCCUGAGAGGGUGGUCCCCCACACUGGUACUGAGACACGGACCAGACUCCUACGGGAGGCAGCAGUGAGGAAUAUUGGUCAAUGGGCGCAAGCCUGAACCAGCCAUCCCGCGUGCAGGAAGACGGCCCUAUGGGUUGUAAACUGCUUUUCCAGGGAGAGAAACUUACGCACGUGUUGCGUGACUGACGGUACCCUGGGAAUAAGCAUCGGCUAACUCCGUGCCAGCAGCCGCGGUAAUCA
rnacentral:rRNA from 1 species